AGCCCCGUCGUCUAGUGGCCAAGGAUACCAGCCUUUGGAGCUGGGGACAGCAGUUCGAGUCUGCUCGGGGCUA
rnacentral:tRNA from 2 species